GCACUUGAGAAUUUUCCUGAAAACUUUUAGAGAGAAGAUUCUUAUCGUUUCUGUUGAAACAGUUUUUCUUUAUUUUCUUCGAGAACUGUCUAGGCUUGUUUUCUUUUUUUUUUUUUAACUCCUUAAAAACUCACGAUUUUCUUGUUAUUGUGGUAGCCCGUCAUGGUGUUGUCCACUUUUGUGAAUGGCACCUGAGGUUGCCACCAGAAUGUGAAAAGAUCUCGACAGACUUGAAAUGCAAAUUCUUUCGUUUUUUUUUUUUGCUAUAGUCGACCCUCUUUUGUGAGUGGAUCUUCUCUCUUUUUGGUGAUGUUCUCUUUUUAGUGUGUCGACUGUUAUCUCUCUACGGCCUCUCGUGUUGGUAAACGUAACGAGAAAUGGGUGGAAGAAAAUAAAUGAAGCUCAUUAACAGAUACGCGAGUUUUAACUCUCAGAUAAGAAUCUCGGUGGGUGUUCGAAUAAACGAUGGACAACUAGUCGUACCUCGUCACUGAUGGAUUGUUAACACAGCGGAGACGUGAUUGACAUCACCACGUGGUCCAGUCGAACAUUCGAAAAUCUUGAAAGUCAUUCAAUGAAUUAUUGAAACUUACGUGCCUCGGGUAUUUGGAAAGAGAAAAAAAAAGGUUUUUUGUCCAAGCAGAUGAUCACAGCCUUAAAGAAGAUGACUAAAGCCUUAAAAAAUCGUUAAGACUCUAUAUGACACACUAAGCAAUAACUUGCGUACGUUGUUCGUAGCUCGUAAAAAGGGGCCGUGUGUCGUCUGCUGUUCGUGCACGAGAAGAAGACAAACAGGCAUACGAGACGAUGUCCAGGAAACACCCUGUUCAACUGGAAAAGAAGAAAACAUUCCCAGCAGUUGUUGCAAGAGUAAAAGAAGAUGGGCUACAGAUGAUGUGAGUAUAUAUUUUGUUCCCUGGCCUCUUUGGGGUUUGCAGCUGUGUGUGUAAUGGACAUUGGGAUAUCACACAGCAUCGCCCUUGAUGCGUCUCGAAAUCCAAUCAGGAUCAUGUAUAGAAGGCGCAAUAUGUUUUCAUUUGCAUAUUCAAUAGAAAAUAUUGAAGUCUAGGGCGGUGACGCAAUACACUCGUGACUCAUAUCACACUUAA